AGCGGCGCAAGGGGGCGUAACACGUGGGUAAUCUGCCAUGAAGUUCGGGAUAACUUGCUGAAAGGCGAGCUAAUACCGGAUGUGACAACCGAGAGACAUCUCCUGGUUGUUAAAGUUGGGGACCGUAAGGCCUGACGCUUCUUGAUGAACCCGCGGCCUAUCAGCUAGUUGGUGAGGUAACGGCUCACCAAGGCUAAGACGGGUAGCUGGUCUGAGAGGACGACCAGCCACACUGGAACUGAGACACGGUCCAGACACCUACGGGUGGCAGCAGUCGAGAAUUUUUCACAAUGGGCGCAAGCCUGAUGGAGCGACGCCGCGUGGGGGAUGAAUGGCUUCGGCCCGUAAACCCCUGUCAUUUGCGAUCAAACCUCAUUAUUUAAAAGAUGAUGAGCUGAUAGUAGCGAAAGAGGAAGGGACGGCUAACUCUGUGCCAGCAGCCGCGGUAAUACAGAGGUCCCAAGCGUUGUUCGGAUUCACUGGGCGUAAAGGGUGCGUAGGUGGUGAGGUAAGUCGGAUGUGAAAGCUCGGAGCUCAACUCCGAAAUGGCAUUGGA
rnacentral:rRNA from 1 species